CGCUAUGCGUCCCAAGGCUGGAGACUUUCUUCAGCGAAGAUGGCUGACAAAAAUACGAGAAUGGAUUCGAAUGUCAUGACGAAUCAUGCAAAAAAAUGGACUCCUGAAACAACCAGCAAACCAGGCUGUCGUCUUGUGAAACAGUGAAUGUAAAGAAUCUAGCUAGCUAAAGCAUUUACUGCAAAUUCAAUGUACACAUGUUUAAGCUUGCCUUGCUGAUCUUUUCCAUGCAAUGCAUAUAGAUGAAAUAAAGUAACUAGCUAUGUU